rnacentral:lncRNA from 1 species
CACAAAUGCCGCGGUUGUCUCAACUUCGCCGACAGUCAGACCACAAUUGUGGAAGCCGCCAUCUUGAAACCGUCCUGCUUCCCCACCCAGCACUUAGUACAACCACCGAUCGCAGAACCCCAACGUUCCUAAGUAAUAAAGGCGUGUCAGAGGCUGGCGGAACGGGCUCCAACUCUCAGUUGCUGCUCGAAGCCCCGACCCGUAUGGCUCGAGAGGUUUUGCACCUCUCCCUUGAGUCCGCCUCUGCUAUUCAGGCUGUGGCGGCCGCCCUGGGAGCCGCCAUCUUGAGACUAGCUUCUCUUCCCCCCCCCACCCCACCUAUCCUCUUCUUCCUGGACAGUUCUUCCACAGCAAACCAAACGCAAGGCAGCGUCCAAUCCUCGCUUCCCUCCUUAAGACUCCUUCCCACAGGAGCCGCUCGAAAGAGCAGGAGUUAAGACCCGAAGUGACAAUUGUACGGCAGAAGAAGCGGUAACGGCAGGGCGAUCAUGCCUCCUCCCUGGGAGCCGCCAUCUUGUGUGAAGAAGUAACAACUAAACAUGGCGGCUAUCGGGCGAGGGGGCGGGGUCAGAAGACGUCACCUUUCCC